UCAUCGAGAAUCCUAAUUUUGAACAAAUUUCCUUAACAUUUCUCUUUGUAAAAUAUAAUUCAUCGAUUAUCUAUACCAUAACACGUGAAACAACGAACUUAACUAAGAACAAAUGCAUGUAUGCACCAUACGUCAACUAUGAAGUCUAGCAACAUUACUUAGGGUUCUAAUAUAGCUCUUUUAACAUGUCAUUUCUCACAGAGUCACAGACAACCAUAACAAACAACAAACAAAGGCCAAAUUAUAUUAAUUGUACAAACGUUACUUAAUGGAACUUGAGGCUGGUCAAGAUGUUGUUGUGAACUGGGUCAGCCAAAUGAUCCAGAAGGUUCUGGUAAGGCCCCACACCAGUCACAAGACCCUGAAUAAAAUAACCCAAUAUUGCCAGCAUGGCAAGCCUCCCAUUCUUCACUUCCUUGAGCUUUAACUCGUUCAACGACUUUUCAUCUUUCCCAAACCCUAGCGGGUUGAACAAGGGCCCACCAGGGUAAGCCGGGUUCCCGGACCCACCCAAGUACUUCUCAAACCCCAAGAAGUAUUGCUUGCCCAUGGACCCGGGGUUGUACCAGUCCUGGAACCUCCGGUGCUCGGCGAACCCCAUUAGGGCAAGUUCAAAGACAAAGAGCGUGUAAGGGUCGGCCCAGUAGUUGUAGGUCCCGGCUGGCGGGAUGACCCCUGUUUGAAACCAGGGCAGGGCAGUCUCGGGCGGGAUUAGGCCGAGCUUGCCCAAGAUUUCUGGGGCAAUUGCACCCACUGCACCAAGCAUGGCGUAACGUCCGUUGAUGACUUCACCGUAGGCUAGCCAUCUGGGCUCGAUGAACCCACCUGUGCCUUCUGGGUCUGAGAGGCCCAAUGGAUCGAAUCCAUAGUCGCCGGGUAGGCUGCAUGUCAAAUUUAACCAUUUCCAAAUUAAUCUCUUUUAUUAUGUGACAAGGUCAAACAAUGAAAGACAAACACAAUUUUCUUUUCUGGUUUUUGAAAAAAUGGAAUUUCAUCACGGCAGUCCACUCUUAUGUGACUAAAAAGACUACAUUUUAGCCUUUUUUGCCUCUAUCAUGUGAUUCACUGUAAUUAAGAAUCGAACUCAGAACGUGAUGUAUGAAAAACAAACACAAUUUAAUUGUCAUUCCUAGUCAUCUUGUACUUCUCAUCCGAGCCAAAUUUAAAACCUAGUUCCGCCAAUGUAAGUAACGCUACAUAACCGUAUUGCAAUCACACUGAAAAGAACAAUCACAAAUCGUUACCUGCCAUCCAAGUAAGUAAGGCUCUGCUUGGAAGCAAACCACAACUGUCUGUCCGCUCCUUGCUGAAAUCAAAUCAAACAAACCACAAAAUCAUAAACAAAGAACGUCAGUUGUGUUACCCUAACCGAAAUCAAAUCAUAACACCACGUGACAGUAUUAUAAUCAUACCAAAAAAUCACAUUCGCGUACCUUAACAGGAGGAGUAGAGGCCGCCCUUACGACAAAGGAAGCAGAUUUUCUCGACCCAAAUGGAGAUUGGACGGCCUUUGCUCCUCCAAAUAUCUGCCUGGCAACCUCCUUUGAGGCCGUUAGGGAAGAUGAUGAAACCAGAGCUUGAGCUGCCAUUUUCUCUCUCUACCUCUCUCUCUCUCUCUCUCUCUCUCUUCUUUUCUUCUGCCACUCAAUAUUUUUUACUCAGUCUCUCAAAUACCACAACUUCGUACAUGUAAUAAGGAAGAUACGGAACUGGUGUGGGCCAAGGGGGAACCAAGAUUUGUGGGCAAUGUGGCGUUGAGAUCCUGGUGGAUAUUGGUGCUGGACCCAGGUUUCAGAUUAGGUUGGGAUCUCACUGCCCAACAAAGUUUGUACACGUGGCGCCAUUACCUGGAUAAGAGAUAUUGCAAUUUUUUCAUCCGAUAUCUGAUUUCACAAACUUGGUAUUGGUUUAUUUGAAUGGAAUAUGAUAUCUACAUAUUCAUUUUUAUUUUUUACAUAUUUUAAAAAAUUUUAGCUGUCGGAUUGGAUGAAUGAACAAAGAUCAAAUGAAAAAAACUAACAAAGAGUGUGUGGAUAGUACAUCCAAUUUGAAUUAUGGGCUUGUUUGGUGGUAUUUUUGAAAUGAUGGAAAACGUUUUUGGAUAAAAUAUUUUUAGAUUUUAAAAGCACUUAAAGUGCUUCUUCCAAGAAGUAUCAGUUAUAUGAUUUUUUAAAGUUCACUUGCAUUUUUAUAAAAAAUUAGUUUCAAAACUAUUUUUCACAAAAUCACUUUAGUAAUUUUAAAAACAUUUUCAAACGAGUUAUAAUUGAAUUGAUACUAUCCUUAAUUUGUAGAGUUGUCAAGGCUGCAAGCACUACAAGUUGCAAUGUGCUCGGUUAGAUAAAUAGUAGAGUACAUGUAUGUAGAGAAUAACUUCGUUAUCAUAUAGUAUAUAUAAUUGUGUUGUGUUUUUUGUAUCAUGUUUCUAAUCGUAUGAGGAUAAACAUAUAAGUUACAAUUGUGAAUCUAUAAAAAAAAUUAUUCAGAAGUAAGAUGAAGCCUAAACACUACUUCCACUUUACACAAUUGUAUUUGGCUCCCCACGGUUUUUUUUGCUCAAAUAUUUGGCACUCUGCAGAAUACAUUGGUUAAGUCUCUUUUUUGACAUUUUGUCAAACAUCUUGCUUCAAAUGAGAAUCAUGCUCAGCGAUACCAUCGAAAGAACAUUGAGCCAUUCCAUGUGUGUAUGUAAAAUGAGAUGGAGGCAAUGCAUAUUUUGGUCACGCGGUUAAUUAUAAGGAAAACUAAUAAACAAAGCUUGAAAACUUUGAGUUUUAAUUAUAUGGACAAAAUAAAGGGUAAAAUGAAUAGUACCAAGAUUGACUUUUUAGUGUAAAAAUAAAGUUUUUCGUUAAAGUGAACAGUACCAGAAGUUUUUCAUUAAAAUUCCAUUAAUUAUAUGGUUAGGCGAACCAGACUCCGCAUCAGGUCGUACAGCCGUCUUCAAACCCUAAGACUCAUUGAAUCAAUUGGGUCACAAUGGGCCAAAAGGCCCAAAAUAGAGGUCAAUAAGCAACAAAUUGACAUGGGCCUCGAAAUUCAGUUAUAACCUAAAUUGGACUCCAAUGAUGUAAAGCUAGCCCAGAUUCAAGCCCCAAAUUAGGAAAAUGCAAAACGUGGGUCCCAAGGUCGACCGCAGAGGAUCCCAACCCUUAAACCUUCCUUUCAUUUCGUUUCCAUAAACCCCUUCGC
rnacentral:lncRNA from 1 species